rnacentral:rRNA from 1 species
AUGCAGAUGGCAAUGAAGACGAUCAUUCUGGAAGUCAAUCGCUUCGCCGGAACUCGAAGCGUCCUGCUAAUCACCAGCCACGAUCUGCACAGAGUGUUCAGCAGGGAGAAGAAUUUGAGACGUGCAACACCUGGAAAGGGAGCUGAGUCGUCUUCUAGGGCAGCAGUUGCUGGAGGAGCUGUCGCAUCUUCUGCAGCAGAUGCUGAGGCCAGCGGUGAAGGAGUUGAGGUGGCUCCAGGGGAAGACACACUUCCAGUGGACCUCACUAAGUUCCUGGUGCAGUCCUACCAGCCAGAGAGCUCUAAAAUGGUUUUCCCAAGAAGGGGAAGGGUCCGUGUCGAUGCUGACAGUGUUCACAGGAUACUAUACCUUGAUGCGCUUGUCCAUGAUAUCCUACUUAAAGAGGAGUAUAGAGGCACGGAGCAGACAUCACUGUUUGGUGGUAUUUUGCAAGAUGAAGCAUUCAUGGCAUCCAAGUUACGAAUGACCUACAAUCCGGAGGCGCAGAUUGCCAAAGUGGUUAAUGACCUGUGCAAGGCUGUAACUGAACAGGAGUUAGAAGAUGACGAGGAAAUGGAAGCAUCGAUAGAUGUUGACGAUGACGAGGACACAGAUGCAGAUGAAUCAGAGGAGGAGGACAAGGAGGAGGAUGACAAAGAAGAAGAUGCAGAGGAGGAGGAGGAGGAGGAGGAGAAAGAAGAGGAGGACAAAGAAGAAGAGGACAAAGGAGAGGAGGAGGACAAGGAAGAACAUAGUGAGGCAGAGGAGGAGGAAGAAGAAGAUGAGGCCAAAGAGGGGGACGGGGACAAAGGUGCAGCAAUUGAUGGCAGUCUGGGGGAGGAAGAUGACGAUGAAGAAUACGAGGAUGGUGAUGGUGUUAAUCAAGGGGGAUCCAAUGGAGGCAGCGACAGCAGCGAUGAUGAUGAUGACAACGCCCCUGGUUCUGGUGGUACAGGCGGCAACACAUCCAGGAGGACUAGGAGCUCUGCCACCCCUGCCAGGAGCAGUAAUUCAUUGAGCAGUAGGAGCACACUGCAGAUGUUGAUUGACAAAACUUGCUGGAAAGACAAGGAUUUGCCAAAGUCAAAGAAAAAUGAUGAAGCAGAGUCUCGGGGCAGCAUUGAUAUGUUCAAGCUCUCCAACUUGAAGCCAGCUUUGCCAACCACCUUUCCCGUGCCAGAUUUUAGCGACAAAGAGAUGUGUGAGAAGAUCGACUUUGCCAUUGAUCAGAGCAUGUUCUUAUCAAGUGACGUUGGAAAGUAUCAAAUUGACAUGGAGGAAGCAGGAAAGGGUCUUGAUUGGGUUCAUUCAAAGAAAAAAUACAAGGAAUAUUUGAAGCAGCUUCCAGAUCUAAGCUCCAGCAAGAGCAACACAGCAUCUGUUUCAAACCCUCACGUGGUCCAGAAGCGCAAAGCAGUUUCAAUGAAGAAAAAUUGCAGUUGCCUCAAACCAAGGAGAAGAUGAGAGCCAACCACCAUCACAGGAGUUCAACAGAUCAAGGGGAAUACUCCUCUUUCAGCGGUCCCACCUAAACCACCUAAGCAGCAAAAGAUUGUCAAGUUUGCAAAGGGCACAAAGGGGGAACAGGGCACAAAAGGUGUGGGGUUCAGAGAUGAGACAGAACUAUGUGCCGCAGCCAUUGAUGCAGGGGUGCCAGGAAGGCACCACUGCAACUGCAGGCCCCAAGGUGCCAACUCAUAUAGAUACUUCAAUGCCAAAGACGAAAGAAGCCCUGAGAUUAUCAGGUAUGGGGCUUUCUACAUUUCUUUAAAGGAUUUAGUUGAUUCCAUGAAGCCAGUUCAAUGGUUGUCAAGAAUUGUUAUUGAGACUGGAAUCCUAUACAUCAUGGAUAACUUACCAGAAGGGUCAAAGAAGGUCGUUAUGCCACUGAGGUUUUUUCAAGGGAUCCACAAUGUGAAUGAGAUAAACAAGAAGUUUGAUUACAAUAACCGUCUCGACAAGCAAGACUUGGUCAUGCUGCCAGUGCUCAAGUGCGCUGAUGUAACCGAUAAGGAUGGAGGGAGGAAUUAUUGGGUCUUCAAUAUCAACUUGAGGGAUGGACGCUUCGAAGUUCUUGAUUCAAGUAGGACGCUGGAGAACAUUGAGCUGAUGACCACCGCCUCUACCAUCGCGGGGGCAGUACGCCAGCUCUGGAGGAAGCAUUACCCAAAGUUCAGCAUCGAGCACUUCCAGAUUAUUGACACUGACGUACCGAAGUGGCUCGGCAAGUAA